rfam:Gorilla gorilla gorilla genomic chromosome, chr5, whole genome shotgun sequence
GCCCCCUGGGGCGUGGUGGCGCAUGCCUGUAGUCCCAGCUACUCUGGAGGCUGAGGCAGGUGGAUUGCUUGAGCCCAAGAGUUCUGGGCUGUAGUGCGUUAUGCCGAUCGGGUGUCUUCACCAAGUUCAGCAUCAAUAUGGUGACCUCCCAGGAGCGGGGGACCACCAGGUUGCCUAAGAAGGGGUGAACCGGCCCAGGUCAGAAACAGAGCAGGUCAAAACUCCUGUGCUGAUCAGAAAGCCCUCUGGCUCCCAGAUUAAGGCUACACUGUACUGCUGAAUGAACAGAGCCUAAAUUCCUGCACCUA